rnacentral:lncRNA from 1 species
CAAGCAAUUUAAUUUGAGAGCCCAAACAAUAAAACAAUUGGCCCAAGUGAUGAUCCAAUUUGUAUAGAUCUUCUAGAUGGUUAUUAAACAAAUAAAACAACUAAUAAAAUUGGCCAAAAUGGUAGAGAUAUCCGGCCAUUCAAGGGGCAAGUGAGCACAAGAUUCAUUUAAUUUAGCUAACAUUUUAGUUAGUCAAAAGUUGGUUACCAAAUCACCUAAGUUUAGCC